rnacentral:rRNA from 1 species
CCCUUAGAUGUUCUGGGCGGCCCGCGCACUACAUUGGCACUAGCAAAGAGAUCCUAGAUUGAAUUCUUUGGGGUAUUCUUCUAAAUGGUGUCGCGACUGGGAUAAAUCCUUGUAAUUAUUGGUUUUGAACGAGGAAUUCCUUGUAAUCGCGGUUUAUCAGCUCGCGUUGAAUGCGUCCCUGCCCUUUGUACACACCGCCCGUCGCUCCUACCGAUGGAUCGUCCGGUGAAGCUCACGGAGUGACUGUUCACGCAACGGUUUACGAAGUGAAAUGGACCUCACGAUUUAGAGGAAGGAGAAGUCGUAACA